AAGUCGUAACAAGGUUUCCGUAGGUGAACCUGCGGAAGGAUCAUUAAUAAUUUUUUUCAUCUAAUGAUGAAUAAAAAUUAACCUUGUGUGCAAACAUUGCUUUGAAAGGAAGAAGGUGAAUACCUUCAUCCUAAAAACAAAAACACAUCAUCAAACUUUAUGUAAAAACAAAAUAUAUUUAUAAUAAAAUACAACUUUCAACAACGGAUCUCUUGGCUCUCGCAUAGAU
rnacentral:misc_RNA from 1 species